UACGUAGGGGGCUAGCGUUGUCCGGAAUCAUUGGGCGUAAAGCGCGUGUAGGCGGUCCGGUAAGUCCGCUGUGAAAACUCGAGGCUCAACCUCGAGAUGUCGGCGGAAACCAUCUGGCUAGAGUCCGGAAGAGGAGAGUGGAAUUCCUGGUGUAGCGGUGAAAUGCGCAGAUAUCAGGAAGAACACCCGUGGCGAAGGCGGCUCUCUGGGACGGUACUGACGCUGAGACGCGAAAGCGUGGGGAGCGAACAGG
rnacentral:rRNA from 1 species